rnacentral:lncRNA from 1 species
CUCACUCAUGCCCUCUCCCUCUAGUGUGGGAAAACAAGAGGAACCUCCAAAAUUUCCUAGCUGCACAAAGAAAUUGGUGGAAAUUCACUUCAUUUUGAAGCUCGGGGUUUCUAUGUGGUUGAUUUAAUCAAAAUAUUAAUGUGAUUUUUCUAGAAGAAGAAAAAGGGAAAAUAUAAAAAUCAUGCUGAUUGGAUUUGAAUAGAUUGUAUUGAUCAUAUAUGAAUAUUAUCUUUCAUCCAGAUUGGAAAGUACUGUUUUGAAAUCCAGUCCUUCACACUUCCAAACUGAUCAUUUUUAAUAAGUAAAUGUCAUUUUGGCUUUUUUUUUUUUUUUCUGGUCAGGAAGAAAAACAAGAAGUUUCCUUCCGCAAACUUCCUAAAAGGUGCCAUGUGUUUUCCUAAAACCAAGGAAAAUUCUAAAAUAGAACUACCAUAUGAUUCAGCAAUCCCACUUCUCUAAAUCUCCAGAAUCUCCAGGGAUUGGAACCAAGUGCUUUAUCUUUACCAUAUACCAAUCCAUGAAUCAACUCCAAAACAGAUCUCUAGAAACAGACAAGACUGACUACUGCCUGAAGGUUUCUGACACCAAGUUCCUGAGAUUGUUAUCUGGGAGAGAAUCAUUUGCAAGAAAAGAAUAACUUAUCAGAAAGGAGAAACUGCACAGAAGAUCCAAAGGCUCA